rnacentral:lncRNA from 1 species
AUGUGUAGUAUCAAACACACUUAUGUUGACAGAGAUUGGGAAGGAGUGGCCAGAGGACUGGGAAAGGAAGACCCCCAGUGGGGAAGCUUUGUGUGCCAAGAGCGGGAGAGAAUGGGGGCAGGAGCAGAGGGAGAACAGUGUGCCCUUGACCCAGGAAGGUCACGAAGGAGCCAACAGAGGAAUUGGGUCCCGGCAUUUCCACCUCAAACUUGGGCUCCUCCCUCCAAGGGGGGAGGCCCAUUUGAUUCCGUGUGUGCAGCCAGCCCUGGCUGUGCAGAGCUGCAGGUGGGAGCUGACCGGAUGAAGGGAAGACAAGAAAGGGCCUCACUUAACAGCGUGGAAGAAGGAGGGGUGCCCAUUCGGGAUAGAAGAUGGAAAAGCUCAACGAUUCUCAUAAACCCCAUCACAGGCCAUUGAAAGCAUGAACGAUUUCUUCAGUCCUCUGAUUAGCCAGGUAUUCAGAAUAUGUUUCACUCACCUGGAGAGUUGCAUCGUCUUGACAAACACAAGGCAAUUAAGAGACUUCCAGCUGCUCCUGCUGCUACUGUGUAUUCAGGGGGAGGGAGAAAUGAUGGCUGGCCUCUCCAAAGUGCCUUUGCUGCAUUCGUCUGGUUUUCAUGACUCUAAUGUCCCAACUGACUGUGUCUAAGAAGCAAAAGACGUGACUUAGAAAGCUUUCCGUAUUCCUACACCAAGAAAGGUUACAGAAUUUGCCAAGUUCUGAGCUUGACACGGCCUUCUUUUCCUGACAAUCAGGUUGGCAUUUUAGAAGGAAGAUGAAAUGGCUUCAGGAAAUGAUGUGAAAGGUUAAGAAGAUGGAUGAGAAAUAUAAGUCAAGAGCUGUCACGAAGGAAAAUGCGGCCUCACAGUGCUGUGUUCAAUGUAUUUCUUAGAAAAACUAGGUAUCUAUAUUUCUGCUAAAUCUGUAUCCUUGAACCCUGUAAUCUAGAGUAGCUAUGCCAUGGUGUAAAGGAUCGUAAGAGAAAAAUGUGGAACUCCAAGUCACAUAAACGUAGAGGGAGGCAGUGUAACCAAAUAA